UACAGAGGGUGCAAGCGUUGUUCGGAAUUAUUGGGCGUAAAGCGCGUGUAGGCGGCUUUGCAAGUCGGGUGUGAAAGCCCUCAGCUCAACUGAGGAAGUGCGCCCGAAACUGCAGAGCUUGAGUGCCGGAGAGGGUGGCGGAAUUCCCCAAGUAGAGGUGAAAUUCGUAGAUAUGGGGGAGGAACACCGGUGGCGAAGGCGGCCACCUGGACGGUACUGACGCUGAGACGCGAAAGCGUGGGGAGCGAACAGG
rnacentral:rRNA from 1 species